AGAGUUUGAUCAUGGCUCAGAUUGAACGCUGGCGGCAGGCCUAACACAUGCAAGUCGAGCGGAUGAGUGGAGCUUGCUCCAUGAUUCAGCGGCGGACGGGUGAGUAAUGCCUAGGAAUCUGCCUGGUAGUGGGGGACAACGUUCGGAAACGGACGCUAAUACCGCAUACGUCCUACGGGAGAAAGCAGGGGACCUUCGGGCCUUGCGCUAUCAGAUGAGCCUAGGUCGGAUUAGCUAGUAGGUGAGGUAAUGGCUCACCUAGGCGACGAUCCGUAACUGGUCUGAGAGGAUGAUCAGUCACACUGGAACUGAGACACGGUCCAGACUCCUACGGGAGGCAGCAGUGGGGAAUAUUGGACAAUGGGCGAAAGCCUGAUCCAGCCAUGCCGCGUGUGUGAAGAAGGUCUUCGGAUUGUAAAGCACUUUAAGUUGGGAGGAAGGGCAGUAAGUUAAUACCUUGCUGUUUUGACGUUACAACCAGAAUUAGCCCCGGCC
rnacentral:rRNA from 1 species